GCGUAAAGAGCUCGUAGGCGGUUUGUUGCGUCGGCUGUGAAAACCUGAGGCUCAACCUCAGGCCUGCAGUCGAUACGAGCAGACUAGAGUGUUGCAGGGGAGACUGGAAUUCCUGGUGUAGCGGUGAAAUGCGCAGAUAUCAGGAGGAACACCGGUGGCGAAGGCGGGUCUCUGGGCAACAACUGACGCUGAGGAGCGAAAGCGUGGGGAGCGAACAGGAUUAGAUACCCUGGUAGUCCACGCCGUAAACGUUGGGCGCUAGGUGUGGGGCUCAUUCCACGAGUUCCGUGCCGCAGCUAACGCAUUAAGCGCCCCGCCUGGGGAGUACGGCCGCAAGGCUAAAACUCAAAGGAAUUGACGGGGGCCCGCACAAGCGGCGGAGCAUGUUGCUUAAUUCGAUGCAACGCGAAGAACCUUACCUAGGCUUGACAUGCACGGAAAUCCUCCAGAGAUGGUGGGUCCGCAAGGGCCGUGCACAGGUGGUGCAUGGUUGUCGUCAGCUCGUGUCGUGAGAUGUUGGGUUAAGUCCCGCAACGAGCGCAACCCUCGUUCUAUGUUGCCAGCACGUCAUGGUGGGGACUCAUAGGAGACUGCCGGGGUCAACUCGGAGGAAGGUGGGGAUGACGUCAAAUCAUCAUGCCCCUUAUGUCUAGGGCUGCAAACAUGCUACAAUGGCCGGUACAAAGGGCUGCGAUACCGCGAGGUGGAGCGAAUCCCAAAAAGCCGGUCUCAGUUCGGAUUGGGGUCUGCAACUCGACCCCAUGAAGUUGGAGUCGCUAGUAA
rnacentral:rRNA from 1 species